CCCAGAGCUCACGCUCCGGGUUAGAAUCAGCCAGGCCUUCAGCCUU
rnacentral:sRNA from 1 species